rnacentral:rRNA from 17 species
UAGGGGUGAAAGGCCAAUCAAACUCGGAGAUAGCUGGUUCUCCGCGAAAUCUAUUUAGGUAGAGCGUCUCGUAUUACCCACGGGGGUAGAGCACUGGAUGGGCUAGGGGGUCCCAACGACUUACCAAACCUAACCAAACUCCGAAUACCGAUGAGUAAUAUCUGGCAGACACACUACGGGUGCUAAGGUCCGUAGUGGAAAGGGAAACAGCCCUGACCGCCAGCUAAGGUCCCUAAGUUAUGGCUAAGUGGGAAAGGAUGUGAGAGUGCAUAGACAACCAGGAUGUUGGCUUAGAAGCAGCCAUCAUUUAAAGAAAGCGUAACAGCUCACUGGUCAAGCGCUCCUGCGCGGAAAAUGUAACGGGGCUUAAGUGAUACACCGAAGCUGCGGACUCGAAAGAGUGGUAGCGGAGCGUUCUGUAAGUCUGCGAAGGCAGCCUGUGAGGGCUGCUGGAGAUAUCAGAAGUGAGAAUGCUGACAUGAGUAGCGAUAAAGGGGGUGAGAGGCCCCCUCGCCGAAAGUCCAAGGGUUCCUGCGCAAUGCUAAUCAGCGCAGGGUAAGCCGGCCCCUAAGGCGAGGCCGAAAGGCGUAGUCGA